rnacentral:lncRNA from 1 species
GAGAUAUUGGUUCUAAAAUAUUAACAUCAAGAUUGGAGAAGGAGGCGAGCCAAUAUCCUAGCACAUUUUUGAAGUUAUCAUCAAUUUGGUAACUCCGAUAUUUUUAAUUUAUUUAUGCUUAUUUUUAACUUAUUUUUUAAGAAGUGUAUAAAAUUUGAGUUAAGCUCAAUAGUUUAUUCAUUAGUUAUUGAGGUUUAAAUCUAUUGAAGGAAUUACUAGGGUUUAGUUUAGGACUUUGUUAGGAUUUGGUUUAGGACUUAGGAUUUGGAUUAGGAUUUGGUUAGGAUUUAGAUUAGGAUUUGGUUUAGGAUUUAGUAUUUGGAUUAAAAUUUAUUUUAGGAUUUAGAAUUUAGAUUAGGAUUUGGAUUAGGAUUUAGUUUAGACUUUAGUAUUUGGAUUAGGAUUUGGUUAGGAUUUGAUUUAGAGUUAAGGGUUUAGUUUAGAAUUUAGUAUUUGAAUUAGGAUUUGGUUAGGAUUUGAUUUAGAGUUAAGGAUUUGGAUUACGGUUUGCUUUAGGAUUUAGUUUAGGAUUUAAAGUUUGAUUUAGGAUUUAGGAUUUUAUUAGGAUUUAAGAAUUAAUUAGUUUUGGUCUAAAAUUUGAAUGAAGUUCAAUAGGAUUUUAACUAGAUUUAAAUUAAGAUUGAAUUGAUAUAUAUUUGAGUGAUAUUUAUGAAUAAUCUAAUAUUCCUUUAAGAAUUUUUAUUAUUUGUUUGAAAUUUCUUUGAGGUUUUUUUGAAUUUGAUUAAGCUUACUU